rnacentral:tRNA from 1 species
GGCUGGGGCUCAGUGGCAGAGCACUUGCCUAACAUGUGUGAGGCACUGGGUUCGAUCCUCAGCACCAGAUA